AUUGAACGCUGGCGGCAGGCCUAACACAUGCAAGUAGAACGAGUGGCGGACGGGUGAGUAAUGUCUGGGAAACUGCCUGAUGGAGGGGGAUAACUACUGGAAACGGUAGCUAAUACCGCAUACCAUCAGAUGUGCCACGAUGGGAUUAGCUUGUUGGUGGGGUAACGGCUCACAAAGGCGACGAUCCCUAGCUGGUCUGAGAGGAUGACCAGCAAGAGUGGAACUGUGACACGUGCCAGAAUCCUACGGGAGGCAGCAGUGGGGAAGAGUGCACAAGGGGCGGAAGCAGGAUGCAGCCAUGCCGCGUGUAUGAAGAAGGCCUUGGGGUUUUAAAGUACUUGCAGCGGGGAGGCGUUACCCGCAGAAGAAGCACCGGCUAACUCCGUGCCAGCAGCCGCGGUAAUUC
rnacentral:rRNA from 1 species